UUUAAAGAACCGAUUCGUGUAAAUUAACCGGAUGUCCCUUAAAAGAAAGCUAGAUUUAUAGGCAAUUCGACAAGGUGGACGGUAUUUGAGUGUGCACGCGCGAAAGCCGUUAAAUCUACGUGUCACGCGCAUAAUUUGCUCCAGUAACUGUCAGCAGUCGCAAUAAAACACGAAACAUUCAAAAAAAUUGUCUGCAGCUCGAUACAUUACCAAGGUAAUUUAAUUAAGUUCUGAAUUUCUAUUUACAUUAAGUUACAUGUAUAGUCAUUUAUAAACGUAAUUUAAAGCAACGUCGCUUUGACCUGAGAUGUCUGACGAUAUUUCAAGUGUGCAAUUAUGUGAGGACAUCACUCGUGAGAGUUUACAACUGAACCAACAUUUGGAGAAGAUGACUGAACAAAUGGAGAAUGUUUCAGUGAAGUUGUCUUGGAUGGCAUAUGAUAUGGUUGUGCUCCGAACCAGUCCAGAUCUUGCUGAAUCCUUCAAGAGCCUGGAGAAUGAGUUUCUCAAGUGCAAAGCUGUCAUCUGUGGUCCCACAAAUGGACAAGAUCAAAAAUAUGGAGUCUGAGGGAAAUUCCACAGAGAAUCGUGAACAUGGGUCCUCAGAUGGCCUGGAUUAUAUCUUGAAGCAGUUGGAUUUAAUGUCGGAAUUGAUUGACCAGUUGGAAGUGAAGAUCCAGCUGCUGCAGUGUAACCUGACCGUGUGCUUCACACACCCUGAUAAAAUGGCACAUCUCCAGACUGACGUGGAAACCCUAACCUGGUUAAACCAUCAACAGACGACGGAAGACUAAAUACAAAGAAGUGCUUUUUCAUGUAAACUUCACAAUUUAAUUGGAAACAUUAAGUUAGAAUUCUAAAAACAGUAGGAAUAUUUAAUUUAGAACAGACAAAUGUACAUUUUAAGAGUA